GUGUCAGCCGCCGCGGUAAUACGGAGGAUGCGAGCGUUAUCCGGAUUCAUUGGGUUUAAAGGGUGCGCAGGUGGGAAAAUAAGUCAGUGGUGAAAUACUGCCGCUUAACGGUAGAAUUGCCAUUGAUACUGUUUUUCUUGAGUAUGGUUGAGGUAGGUGGAAUGUGUUGUGUAGCGGUGAAAUGCAUAGAUAUGACACAGAACGCCGAUUGCGAAGGCAGCUUACUAAGCCAUUACUGACGCUGAGGCACGAAAGCGUGGGGAUCGAACAGGAUUAGAAACCCCCGUAGUCC
rnacentral:rRNA from 1 species